GAGACCUCAGGUCAGCCGGGGCUACCCGCUGAGUUUAAGCAUAUCAAUAAGCG
rnacentral:rRNA from 1 species